rnacentral:misc_RNA from 1 species
AUCCACGCCAGUGUAUACAGACCCUGCAUUUCACACAAAAAAGAGAAAUGUAGCAUUAAAAAAUAGUUUUGAGCAAUUACACAGUUUCAAACUAAAAGGAAGCUGAAGUAAAUACUGAACCAAAAACUGGCAGCAGAACACUAAACAAAAACAUAUACAUAAUAUACUACUUUUCCCAAGAGAUAGCAUUACAAAUUCCCCAUAUUAUCAGGGGGGAAAAGGGGAAUAUAUGUCACAGCUCAACGCUCA